UGAGGGCAAGUCUGGUGCCAGCAGCCGCGGUAAUUCCAGCUCCAAUAGCGUAUAUUAAAGUUGUUGCAGUUAAAAAGCUCGUAGUUGAACUUCGGGAUCAAGGGAUCGGUCAUGCCUUGGUAUGUACUGGUCUUAUUGGUUCUCACCUUCUAAAGAACCAUAAUGUCAUUCAUUUGAUGUUAUGGGGAAUUAGGACUGUUACCUUGAAAAAAUUAGAGUGUUUAAAGCAGGCUUACGCUUGAAUACAUUAGCAUGGAAUAAUGAAAUAGGACAUCCGAUUCUAUUUUGUUGGUUUCUAGGAUCGAUGUAAUGAUUAAUAGGGAUAGUUGGGGGCAUUAGUAUUCAAUUGUCAGAGGUGAAAUUCUUGGAUUUAUUGAAGACUAACUACUGCGAAAGCAUUUGCCAAGGAUGUUUUCAUUAAUCAAGAACGAAAGUUAGGGGAUCGAAGACGAUCAGAUACCGUCGUAGUCUUAACCAUAAACUAUGCCGACUAGGGAUCGGAUGAUGUUAAUUUUUUAAUGACUCAUUCGGCGCCUUACGGAAACA
rnacentral:rRNA from 1 species